rnacentral:rRNA from 1 species
AUACGGAGGGGGCUAGCGUUGUUCGGAAUUACUGGGCGUAAAGGGCGCGUAGGCGGAUUAUCAAGUCAGAGGUGAAAGGCCUGGGCUCAACCUGGGAACUGCCUUUGAAACUGAUAGUCUUGAGUCCGGAAGAGGAUGGCGGAAUUCCCAGUGUAGAGGUGAAAUUCGUAGAUAUUGGGAAGAACACCAGUGGCGAAGGCGGCCAUCUGGUCCGGUACUGACGCUGAGGCGCGAAAGCGUGGGGAGCAAACAGGAUUAGAUACCCCAGUAGUCC